rnacentral:rRNA from 1 species
UACGGAGGGUGCAAGCGUUGUCCGGAUUUAUUGGGUUUAAAGGGUGCGUAGGCGGCCCUGUAAGUCAGUGGUGAAAGCCUCCAGCUCAACUGGAGAACUGCCAUUGAUACUCCAGGGCUUGAGUACAGACGAGGUUGGCGGAAUUGAUAGUGUAGCGGUGAAAUGCAUAGAUACUAUCAAGAACUCCGAUUGCGUAGGCAGCUAACUAGGCUGUAACUGACGCUGAGGCACGAAAGCGUGGGGAGCGAACAGG